GUAGCAGAAGCUGCAGAUACACUGACAGCCAGGCUGCCCCUCAGCACCCAGUCGCUCUCUCCGCCAGGAUCCAUCAUGAUUGCCAUUAAGGCCCUGAAAGGCUGAACGGUACCGACCGACCUCUGUGUCAUCCUCAGAUGGUAGGCGUCACUGGACAUCAGUCAAGUAGCUGCUCAAUUGGCCACACGAGGGCUGAGUGCACCUUGCUUGCCAACAGCACUCGGCAGACCUGGACUGCCACCCAUCCAUGUCCUAAGGUCUAUUACUUCUGUUUUUGGAAAAACAUUUUUGUCUGCUUAAUUUUUCCUUUCUCUAUAAUCAAAGUUUCCUCUACAAGUUAUUCUAGAAGGAGGUAUGGAAGAUUAAUUUGAGGUAUGGAAAACUUGACUUUAACGCCUCAUUGACGAAGAGGUCACUAGAGAUGGAGCCCCAUUGACGAAUAGGUCACUGGAGAUGGAGUUCAAGUCAGAAAUCGGGUAGGAUUUGAAAGUUCGAUGGAACCCUACUCCUAUUUAACUUAAGUAGUUAUGAAAAUCACAGAAAAAUUAAAUCAGUUCGAUGGACGCUUAGUUGAACAACUGUCCUCACAAAUACGAGUAUAGUCUUAUCACUGCUCCACCUCUAACGCUUGGUGGAUUUCUAACGGUUUCCCUCAGUUGUUCCUCUCCAGUCCAACUCAUCUUUCUUAGUAAUACGCUCUCACAUAUGUCCUAACCAUGUUAUAAUCUUGAUUAUUUUCACAUUUAUGUCGAUUAUAUACUAAAACUGGCAUAAUGAAAUUUUCAGAUCAGUCUUUUGCAUCUUUCUGAAGUCCAGAAUUCGUGUUAUUGUUGUACAAUCGAUUCAAAGGAAAACGAGAUACCUGUUUUAGUAAUAUCACGUGUCAAAUAGGCCUGUCAGUUUCGAAUGGAUCAAUGAUAAACAAUCUGUAUAUUCAAAUAAUAAGGGGCCCACUAAAACGUCUUACUGUGUAUAUAUCAAGAAGCAAAAGAAAGCCAACUGCGACGAAACGACAGGCUUCAGAUAGGAAGCUCCUCACCCAGGGAAAGAUUAAACCAAACCUCCCUGUGCUCUGCACUUUGGGAGAGGGCAGUACUACGUGAAUAGAAGACAAUCGACGUCUAAUAUGCAGAACUGACAACUAGUCACUAGAAUGAAUUUUCACUCUGCAGGCUGUGUGUGUGCUGAUAAAACUAUGCUGGACAGAGCCUCGAACUCUGGACCUUUGCCUAUCGGAGGCAACUAUUCACCAGUUGAGCUACCCAAACGUGAAUCACGACCCGUCUUCGCAGUUUUACUUCAGCCAGGUCCUUAUCUCCUACCUUCCAAACUUCACGGAAGUUCUGCUGCGUAUUCAGCAGGACUAUCACUCCUGAAAGAAGGAAUAUUGCGGUGACAUGGCACACAGUUUUAAUCUGCCAGGAAGUUGCAACUAGCCACUGUUUAGAACUACUUGGUAUACAAUUGAUUAUUUUUCCGGGUGUGACUGUUCGUGAGUGAUGUGUGAAGCAGUGACCUCAUUCGGCGCUGUAAUUAAUGCCUUCUGUUUAUUACUUAAGACUUUUUUGUCUUUCAGAUGUCCAUGCUGUUCACUGCGGCCCUGCUAGCCUUGGUAUGUGAGGCACUGCCUUCUGGAGACCGCCAGCAGGUGCUGCUGGUUCCGUUGACUGUGACGUUGGACAGACGCGCCUCAGAGCCCGCCGAAGGCCUUCCGCGUGAACCCAGAGCGGUGCCUGUAACGGACUACGAGGACGAGGCCUCAGAUCCAGCCGGCGACGACAUGGCGGCUGCGGCGACGCUCGUCUUCCGGCCGCUGUUCGUGUACAGGCGUCAGGGCAGCCGCUAGUGACCAACUGCUGCUUGCUGACCACUGCACUGCUUCGUCAUCGUCACUGAAUCAUUCUCUAUUCAUUCAUACUUCUUAUUUAUUACAUUUUCGUGUGCUUCAGAAACAUUUUCACAACGAUAUUUUUAUAUACAAAAGACUGACACUUUUAUACAUGGUGAUAUUUAUUGUUGUUAUUAUUGAAAAUAAAAUAUUUUAUCUCUUA